CUCUCAUUGUCAGAAGUGAUAUUCUUAAGGGAAUAUCUCCAGUACAGAGAGAAUAAAGGGGUUCAUCUCCCUGCCGACAAGGCAAAAAACUGAAUUGCUAUGAAAGCAUCUAGUAGGACACGAACGAUGCUACGCAUAG
rnacentral:ncRNA from 1 species